rnacentral:tRNA from 1 species
GGGCCCGUAGCUUAGGUUGGUGGAGCAUCUGGCUCAUAACCAGACGGUCGUCGGUUCAAAUCCGGCCGGGCCCA